CCUAUCUGGUUGAUCCUGCCAGUAGUCAUAUGCUCGUCUCAAAGACUAAGCCAUGCAUGUCUAAGUCCAAGCUGUGUUUACACACGGCGAGACCGCGGACGGCUCAUUAAAUCAGUCGUGGUCCAAAUGGGCCAGUGUUCAAUUACUUGGAUAACUGUGGUAAUUCCAGAGCUAAUACAUGCAACUCAUACCCAGAGGAGUGUGGCUUGUCCACAUCUCCGACGGGUGCUUUUAUUAGACCAAACCACUGGGGUUUUCCCCUCCUCUCUCUCGCGGGUGGGGGGUGGGACUCCUUCUCGUGUUAUGAUGACUCUGGAUAACCAUUUUUGACGAGCGCACGUACCCCGCCAGGGGACGGCGCUGCCACUUUCGAGUGUCUGCCUUAUCAGCUAUCAAUCGCUCGCUACACGCGACCGAUGGCUUUGACGGGUAACGGGGAAUCAGGGUUCGAUUCCGGAGAGGCAGCCUGAGAGACGGCUACCACGUCCAAGGACGGCAGCAGGCGACGCAAAUUACCCAACCCCAGCACCUGGGGGAGGUAGUGACGAAAUCUAACGAUGUGGGCGCCCCCUCUGGGCCCCACAAUCGGAAUGAGCACUUUCUAAACAACCUGUUGAGAACCUACUGAAGGGCAAGUCUGGUGCCAGCAGCCGCGGUAAUUCCAGCUUCAGUAGCAUCUAUUAAAGUUGCUGCGGUUAAAAGGCUCGCAGUUGAAUGUCAGUACCGAGCGCUGGUAAGGUGGACGUUGGGGCGUGAGGUCAAAAGUUGCGUGUUUCUCUCUGGGGCGCGCUCACUGCUGAUUGCUUGUACGAGCUGUGUGUGCGCCACAUACGACUGGCAUGCGCCGUUCUGCGUGGUGUGUCGGGUGUGUGCGUGUGUGCGCUCUCGUGCUUGUUUUGGUUGGUGUGUGUAGUGCGUUUCGGGGUUCACGUGGCUCUCACAAGCUCCCGUCCGUGACAAGCCUCCUCGUUCGUGUACACAUAAGGGAAUCGUAUGUGUGUAGGCUCUGGGGUCUUGACUUGUGUGUCUCUGUGCCUACAUAUUGCGCGCGCACUUCGCGGUGUGUGUGUGGUGUCUAGCGUGCGGGGCGCACUCGUAUCGCCCGAUGUCCUCACCUGGUUUUAUUGUCACCUUGAGUAAAUCAGAGUGCUCAAAGCAGUCGUAGUGGGCCUUGUGCCCUCAGUCUUACGGACUGACUUGGUUUUGCAUGGCAUGUCGGAAGACGACGUCGAGUGCUGGCUCAGAGACACACAGUGGUAUAAGCCAGCCUCGACGUACUGAUUAAAAGGAACGGUCGAGGGCAUUGGUAUUGCGAGGCGAGAGGUGAAAUUCUAUGACCCCCGCAAGACCACCUGAAGCGAAAGCGUCUGCCAAGGACGUUUUCAUUAAUCAUGGACGAAAGUUAGAGGAUCGAAGGCGGUCAGAUACCACCCUAGUUCUGACCCUAAACGAUGCCAACCAUCAAUCCGCGCGUAGCACCCUUUUUGACGGGCUCGGCGGGCAGCUCCUUUUUCACGGGAAACCAGAGUCUCUGGGUUCCGGGGGGAGUCUGGUUGCAAAGCUGAAACUUAAAGGAAUUGACGGAAAGGCACCACCAGGCGUGGACCUGCGGCUUAAUUUGACUCAACACGGGCCAUCUCACCAGGCCAGCACUCUAGCAUGAUUGACAGAUUGAGAGCUCUUUCUCGAUUCAGUGGAUGGUGGUGCAUGGCCGUUCUUAGUUGGUGGAGUGAUCUGUCUGGUUAAUUCCGAUAACGAACGAGACUCUCCCCUACUAACUAGUCGGUUGGAUCUUGAUUUUUAUCUGGGUGAGUCGUGCCCCAGAUGCGCGCAGCAGGCGGCUCCCUCGCUUGUGGGUUAGUGUGUGUGCGCGCGCGCGCCGUGUAUUGAGUGUUUCGGCAUUCGAUGCUCGUGUGUGUGUACGUGCCACGCGCCCGCGUGAGUGUGAUGUUCCAAUCGCUGUUUGUGCUCUGGAUAGUACACUCCAAGUCCGCCGCUCAUGAUUAAAUUCUUCUUAGAGGGAUCCACGGUUCUGAAACCGUCAGAGACUGAGAGCAAUAACAGGUCUGUGAUGCCCUUAGAUGCUCUGGGCCGCACGCGCGCUACAAUGCCGGGCACAGCAGGUCUUUUUCCUACUCCGAGAGGAGCGGGCAACCCUGUCAAAGCCCUCUUUUUAACUCGCCCCCUGACGCUCACGCGGACUCGUUCUGUAUGGGUGUUUAGUGGGGUUAGCGGCGUGCUUGGGCCUGGGGCUUGCAAUUCUUUCCCACAAACGAGGAAUGCCUAGUAGCGGCGAGUCACUGAGCUCGCCUUGACUCAGUCCCUGCCCUUUGUACACACCGCCCGUCGCUACUACCGAUUGGGUGUACCAGUGAGAGCCUUGGACUGGCGUCCCUUGCGCGUCAAGUGCAAGUGGGUCUGACGGAAAGAGGUCCGAACUGGUGCACUUAGAGGAAGUAAAAGUCGUAACAAGGUUUCCGUAGUGAACCUGCGGAAGGAUCAUUA
rnacentral:rRNA from 1 species